rnacentral:rRNA from 1 species
GUUUUUAAGGUGGGAAUGGCUUUGGAAACCGUAAGGCUUGAGUGUGGGAGAGGAUAGCGGAAUUCCCGGUGUAGCGGUGAAAUGCGUAGAGAUCGGGAGGAACACCAGUGGCGAAGGCGGCUAUCUGGACCAAGACUGACACUGAAGCGCGAAAGCGUGGGUAGCAAACAGGAUUAGAUACCCUGGUAGUCCACGCGGUAAACGAUGGAUGCUAGGUGUAGGAGGUAUCGACCCCUUCUGUGCCGGAGUAAACACAAUAAGCAUCCCGCCUGGGGAGUACGGCCGCAAGGUUGAAACUCAAAGGAAUUGACGGGGGCCCGCACAAGCAGCGGAGCAUGUGGUUUAAUUCGAAGCAACGCGAAGAACCUUACCAGGUCUUGACAUCGAUGGAACCUGUAGAGAUACGGGGUGCCCUUCGGGGCCCUGAAGACAGGUGGUGCAUGGUUGUCGUCAGCUCGUGUCGUGAGAUGUUGGGUUAAGUCCCGCAACGAGCGCAACCCUUGUUGUCAGUUACUAACGCGUAAAGGCGAGGACUCUGACGAGACUGCCGGGGACAACUCGGAGGAAGGUGGGGACGACGUCAAAUCAUCAUGCCCCUUAUGACCUGGGCUACACACGUGCUACAAUGGCCACUACAAAGAGGCGCGAGGUCGCAAGACGGAGCAGAUCUGAGAAAAGUGGUCUCAGUUCAGAUCGUGGGCUGCAACCCGCCCACGUGAAGUCGGAGUUGCUAGUAAUCGCGAAUCAGCAUGUCGCGGUGAAUACGUU